AAAUGGGAAAAUCUUGACGCGGAAAUGUUGAUGGGUUUUGAGGAAAUUGAGGUGGACGACGAUAUAAGAGAAGAGUUCCCUUGCUGUUUUUGUUCGGAGUAUUUUGAUAUUGUUGGUUUAUGUUGUCAUAUUGACGAUGAGCAUCCUGUUGAGGCCAAGAAUGGGGUAUACCUCUCUUUUGUUCAGUUAUUGUGUAGUUGAUCACCCUUUGCUGUUUUCCCAUUGUUGAAAUAUUGGAUAUUGUGUCAUUUUACACUUAGAAGUUUAUAAUUCUUUCAGUUAUUGGAAGAUAGAGUGUCACGUUAAAUAUUUAGGUUUACUAGCUGACAUUUUAAGCCAUGAUGGCAUGACUUGAUACAGUUGCCUUUGUUUGAUGGCAUUACUUUUUGAUGUGUACUGGUCACACAUUCUUGAGUGAUGAGCAUCCCGUUGAGGCCAAGAAUGGGGUAUACCUCUCUUUUGUUCAGUUAUUGUGUAGUUGAUCACCCUUUGCUGUUUUCCCAUUGUUGAAAUAUUGGAUAUUGUGUCAUUUUACACUUAGAAGUUUAUAAUUCUUUCAGUUAUUGGAAGAUAGAGUGUCACGUUAAAUAUUUAGGUUUACUAGCUGACAUUUUAAGCCAUGAUGGCAUGACUUGAUACAGUUGCCUUUGUUUGAUGGCAUUACUUUUUGAUGUGUACUG
rnacentral:lncRNA from 1 species